GACGGAGGAUGCAAGCGUUAUCCGGAAUGAUUGGGCGUAAAGCGUCCGCAGGUGGCAGUUCAAGUCUGCUGUCAAAGACCGGGGCUUAACUUCGGAAAGGCAGUGGAAACUGAACAGCUAGAGUAUGGUAGGGGCAGAGGGAAUUCCUGGUGUAGCGGUGAAAUGCGUAGAGAUCAGGAAGAACAUCGGUGGCGAAGGCGGCGACCUGGUCCGUGACUGACGCUGAGGCGCGAAAGCGUGGGGAGCAAACAGG
rnacentral:rRNA from 1 species